rnacentral:tRNA from 1 species
GGCGAUAUAGUAUAAUGGGUAUUACAUCUCCCUCAUAAAGAGAAGAUUGCAGUUCGAUUCUGCAUGUCGCUACUA